GGUGUGGUAGGGUGGGGCGAGGUAGGGUGGGGUGUGGUAGGGUGGGGUAAGGUAGGGUGGAGUGAGAUGGGGUGAGGUAGGGCGGGGUAAGGCAGGGUGAGGUGGGGUAGGGUGAGGUAGGGUGGGGUGAGGUAUGGUAGGGUGGGGUAGGGUGAGGUAGGGCGAGGUGAGAUAGGAUGGGGUGAGGUGAGGUAGGGUGGGGUGGGGUAGGGUGAGGUGGGGUGAGGUAGGGUGGGGUGAGGUAGGGUGAGGUAGGGUGGGGUGAGGUAGGGCGGGGUGAGGUAGGGUGGGGUGAGGUAGGGUGGGGUACGGUAGAGUGAGGUGAGGUAGGGUGGGGUGAGGUAGGGUGGGGCGAGGUAGUGUAGGGUGGGGUAGGAUGAGGUGAG
ensembl:lncRNA